CCCAUAUUACCAGAGGGAAAAGAAUAACUAAAGCUAAUGGAAGCAUUGGGACAUUAAUAGUUAUUUGUGUAUCUAUUGGAGUAUGGGGUGUCAUUAAAUGCGAACAACAAUAGCGAAAGUCAUCACCAAUAUUAAAAUUACCAAUAAGAAAUCAAAUUCCCCCUCUCAUUCCAGGAAAGACUACCAGAAACCUUACCUCAUUUCCCCAAUAACAAAAGGGCUUCGAAAAAUUGAAGUAUAUAUGCAUUUCCUAAUUUUGAAUUUUUUUCCGGGAAACAAACAGAAUC
rnacentral:misc_RNA from 1 species